rnacentral:RNase_P_RNA from 1 species
UCCGGGAAGCGGUCAUUCGCUCCGGGGUCUUCGGACUCCGGAGAGGAAAGUCCGGACAUCACAGGGCAGGAUUCCCCGCGAAAGCGGGGGGAACUCGUAUCAAAGCGAGUUCACGGCUAGUGCCACAGAAAACAUACCGCCUCCUUCGGGAGGCAAGGGUGAAAAGGUGGGGUAAGAGCCCACCGCCGCAAGGGCAACCGAGCGGGCAAGGUAAACCCAAUCCGAUGCAAGACGAAAUAGGGAACUGGGCGGCCCGUCCAUCAGUUCCGGGUACGUCGCAUCCCGCUUCGGCGGGAACCGAGGUUUCCUCGGUAGAUGAAUGAAUGACUGCAGCGUUUUCGUUCGAGAAACCGCCGCAACAGAAUCCGGCUUACAGCUUCCCGGAAUCC